AAUAUUUAUUAUAUAUAUAUAUAUAUAUAUAUAUAUAUAUAUAUAUAUAUAUAUAUAUAUAUAUAUAUAUAUAUAUAUAUAUAUGAUCAGUGACUCGGGUAGUGACAAUUUCACGUCACGUUUUGGUAAUGGUACGGUUCACUUGGAACCUCAACCGAGGUGGUACUAAAAAAAGUACCAGGUACUGUACCCAGUGGAAAACCCCCCAAAAUUAACCAUACUGUGCCGUACCAUGCAGUGAAAAAGCACCACAAAAGAGACCUUUUCAGAACCUAUUGUUUCAUAUAGGCCAGGGAUCCUUACAUCUGGCUCACGAGAUCCACUUUCCUGCAGACUUUAGUUCUAACCUUAAUCAAACAUACCUGAACAUGUCUUCAGGAUCAUUAGAAAAUCGCAGAUGGGUUUGAUCAAAGUUGGAGCUAAACUCUGCAGUAAAGUGGUUCUCACAGCCAUAUUUGAGGUGUAACAGACAUGAGCCUGUUAAUAAGAAUAUUGUGGGCAGUUUUCUUCCUGUUUUCUUACCACUAUUGGUGCUAGGGUGUUUUAGGUUUCCUUAAGGCAGGGGUCUCCAACCCUGCUCCUGGAGAGCUACCAUCCUGCAGACUUCAGUUUCAACCCUGCUCCAACACACCCGUCUGUAUUAUCAAGUAGCCCUGAACACCUUGAUUAGCUGGUUCAGGUGUGUUUGAUUGGGGUUGGAGCUGAAAUCUGCAGGACAGUAGCUCUCCAGAAGCAGGGUUGGAGACCCCUGCCUUAAGUAAAGCCAGCUGGGUAGAGGGAGUUAGCAAUAGAGACAGAGUGACACGCGUCAUAAUCUGAAAACCACGCCCACCGGGGGGGGAAACAAUCCAAUGCUCUCCAUUGACUUUCUAUUGCGGGAAGCUGCCUUCUUGUAAUUUCUGACUUAUAACAAAAAACAGAGCAAUGCCUAAAAGCUUCUGUGACAAAGUGUACAGUAAACUAGCUAAAAUACCCAGAACUACAUUUUUAUAAGCUGUUGACCUAAAAAAAACAAGCAUUUAGGACACAAAUAGUUGAUGUCAGGGUAUUUUUACAUUGGGCCGUUCAUUUGUAUCAUUUCUCAAACAAAAGGAAGGUUAGGAAAAGGGGCACUGACAUAGACCAAUAAAAUUUUGUUUCUUAAUAUAUCUCCUCCUCUCAGAUUCACAAAUGGUGGUGAAAUAAUCCUUUGACAUGGAUAAAAAAUAAUGAAAGUUUCCUGUUGCCGAUUACGUUUCCCUCUAGUGGGUGUAGAUCUCAAAGUAAUAUGACACAUUGCGCUCUAGUUUUGUGUCCUAAACGCUUGAUUUUGUUGGGGUCGAUGUAGUUCUGUUUUUUUUAAAGCUUUUUUUAGCUUGUUUAAUAAAAGAGAGGAAGUGGAAAUGGAGGAAAUCAGCCUGUAAAGCGUAGACAAAACACCCUUUUUAUCUAAGGCUGCUUCAAGAAUCUGAUCAAGCAAAGAUUUUGGAGGAAGAUUCAGAAAAUCAGGGAAUGAGUUUUUAACAAAAUUUUGGAGCUGCAAAUAUCUAAAAAAUUGUGCACUAGAGAGAGAGAGAAUUUUUGUUUCAACUGAGAAAAGCAGGGAAAAACAUUUUCAAUGUAAAUAUCAUUGACAACUGAAAUCCCUGCUCUCUGCCAAAUAUUAAAUGCCUUGUCAUUAAGUGAAGGAGGGAAUAAAGGGUUGCAAUUCAUAGUUGAAACCACUGGUAAGUGCUGAAGGCCAAAAUGGGUUCGAAAUUGGGACCAAAUUUGUAACGAUUGCCGGACAAUGGAAUUAUCAUAAGGGCAACGCAAGAUGGCAGUAAGAGGGCCACACAAUACUGCGGCAGGUGAGGCAGGGGAACCCUCUUCAAUACUGACCCAAGACGGGACCCAAUCACUGAGCCCAAAAUGACUUUGAAGAUCAUACGAUUUUUAAAGAAGCUAGAAGGCUGAACCUCCUUGCCCUUCCACCCUACCCACUUGGGACUUGGAGCUUGUACUUGAGGCUCUCAUGGGACCCCAGUUCAAGCACAUACAAUCAGCAAGUUUGCGAGAGCGCUCUCUCAAGACAGUGCUCCUGCUUGGGCUGGCCUCUGUUAAGUGAGUUAGGGACCUGCAGGCACUGUCCAUUGAUGACUUAAGGUCUAGACAGUUCAGACUCUCAGAGCAGCUAUUCGUAUGCUUUAGAGCCCCCUUCCUCAAAUCUUGCCCUGGAGGUCCAAUGCGCUGCAGAGAUAAGCUCCAACCCUGAUCAAAGUCACCUGCCUGUGAUUUUCUAAUGAUCCCAAAGACAUUGAUUAGCAUUGAUUAGUAUGCUCAGGUGUGUUUGGUUAGGGUUAGAGCUAAACUCUGCAGGAAAGUGGAUCUCGAGGUCCAGAUCUGAGGAUCCCUGGUCUACGCAAUUGCUUUGGCUUAUAGCUCUAAGGUUGUGGAAUGUCCUAUAGGGGUUCAUGCUCACGUCCUCAUAGGCGUGGGCAAAUGGCAUAUAUAUUCAGAACAUUUGCAUGGCGGCAGGCUGGUCAUUACCCAACACUUUCGCAAGGUUUUAUAACCUAGAUGUAUCGUCGCUUGCCUCACAUGUGCUGUCAGUGCGAGCGGCACACCCGCCUUCUCAGCCUCAGUUAUGAUCUGUGCUGCAUGCAUAAGUGGUUUUGACCAGGUCGUAUACACCCCUGUACUGAUGCUACCAAUCCAAUGCUGCUUCCUAUCAGCUCAUCACACUGUUAUGAAAUAGUUCAACACGCCUUUUAGGAUUUGAUAACCAUCAUACUCUGCUUAUUUGAGCCGUUGUAUCACAACCAUCGAUUUGUAUAAUGUUCUCAAUUAUAGAUCAGUGAUCACAACACAAUUUUGUUGAAAUUAACAAACUUCAGAUAAAGAUUUAUUAAGGAAAGUUUCUGUCAAACAAAUGAACUGUAUUGUAAUGCCAGCUGUAAAAAAGCCACUGCUGAGCAGCAGACAGGUGUUUGAAGCUACUGGAGUCUCAAGAUCCUCUCCAUGCAGACUGACAGUUGUGUGUAAAGCUGUGUUUUAGUCACUGCUAACCAAACCUCACAAAGAGAAACCUGCACAGGUUGAAACAUUGCAUUGUUUCAUACUUUUUCAUCUACAGAAAGAUCUUUCUUCCUCACCAUAUUUCAUGAGAACUGUGACUUGCAUAAUAAUGUGGAACAACCUCUUCAAGUAGGGUUUCCAUUUACCUAAGAAGACCUGGCAACCUAUUGAACAAACCUGUCUGAGAUUUAUACCAGUUAUCUAAAAAGAUGGGAAAAACCACACAAACAAAAAUCUGACUCUUUAUUAUACCGAAAUCCUAUUGAUAUGUCACUUGCAUAAUAAUUUGGAAUGCAGUGUAUUUGUGAUGGCGUUCUGUUUUACCAGCGUUAACUCCGCCCCUGGUGUGAAGCAGCAUCAUCUAGUUGUCACACCCCCUCUUGACUUUUACAUGGUUUCAACUAAGUCCUGUAGACCUGAGCUGUGUUUAACAAGAGUGCAAAUAUCAUUGCUACUCUCAUUACGGUUUCGUCUGUGAAACUUGACAUACUUAGUUGAGCCAGUCUCCAUCGCUGUGACACGGCGGGAUUUUAUACAUUCCCAUAGCAAUGUAGAGUGACUGAAUCGAAAGGGAACGUUCUCGGUUAUUAAUGUAACCUUGUUUCCCUGAGAAGAGGGAACAUAGCUCUUAUUGCCGUGUCACCUAGCUCAGGAUCUUAGAAUGCCAAGUUGAUUCAGUCAAGAUUCUGAAUGGAUGACGUACAAGCACUGCUUUAUAUAGAGUGGGAGCCCCUCAUAUUUUGCGCGCUUGAACGCUAUUUGCCCAUUUCACUGGCGUGAUUCAAUAAGGCUUCAUUAGUAUUUGGAUAGUAUUAGUAUUUAGUAUUUAAUUCCCAUAGCAAUGUCUCGUUCCCUCAUCUCAGGGAGCAUUUUUUGUUAUAAAUCAGAAAUGACAAGGAGGCAGCUUCCCGCAAUAGAAAGUCAAUGGAGAGCGUUGGUUUGUUUUGACGUCACUUUGUAUGCAGCUCGGCUGUUAGCAUCGCACUGGUUCCCUCGACAAAAAAGCCUAUAGGACUUUUCCAUAGGCUUUUGGAUUAUCGCAAAAAAUAAGCUCUCUGUUCAACAACAGUUCAUGAGACUUACACAUUUUGUCCAUCAAAAUAAUCUUCACAAAAUAAUAUAAUUUUGAUGAAUUUUGAAGCCUAAAUAAAAGCGCCAGAACUUAAAAGCUAAACUUAGGCUACAAACGAACUACAUCACCACAGUCGCUCGCCUUCAACGUCACCACCACCAUGUUUCUGACAACUUUUUCAAACUUAUUUUUAACAUGUUCAGUGAAAAGGAUUUAGUCUGUAUAUUAAUUUUAACCCACGCUACAUGAACCUUUUCAUAUAAACUGGAAUAAAUACAGAAACUAGAGCCAAACUAAAACUUAUAUGAGACAUUAAUAGUAAAUAGUAUAGUGAAUAAAUUAAAUAAUCAUAACUAAAGGACUUUUAAAGCACGUAUUUCUGUAC
ensembl:lncRNA